AGGGCUACACACGUGCUACAAUGGCCGGUACAAAGAGUUGCGAGACCGCGAGGUGGAGCUAAUCUCAGAAAACCGGUCUCAGUUCGGAUUGGAGUCUGCAACUCGACUCCAUGAAGUUGGAAUCGCUAGUAAUCGUGGAUCAGCACGCUACGGUGAAUACGUUCCCGGGCCUU
rnacentral:rRNA from 1 species